AAUAAAACAAAUGCAAUAAGCAAGAGGAAAUAAGUUGCCAAUAAAUGGUCUUACACUUGACUCCAAGGAAAUAGGAUGCCAAUCAAUGGUCUUAGUCCCAACUCCUACCAGAUCAUAGGAAACAACUGCCAAUAAAUGGACUUACAAUUGACUCCUCAAUGGACAAAACAAAAUGUCACAAAGUAUGAACAAUGAUCAUGUUAAUGGUAUACAAUUAAUGAAAACAAAUGCACAAAGGCACACACAAACCAUUAUGCACAUAUGGG
rnacentral:lncRNA from 1 species